GGAUUUAAUUCAUAUACUGAAAUUAACAUAAACUAAUUUUAGAAUGAAUGAAGAAAAGUCUAUAAUUAAUUCAUAUACCUGAAUCGCUUUCCUUUUGCUUCAAACCUGUAACUGAGGUUGAAUCUAAUUCAGUCUUUAGAUUUAAGGUUGAUCAAGCUCUGAAUCAGUAGCAUAAGUAUCCUGCCUUUAUGGAUAUCCACA
rnacentral:lncRNA from 1 species